GAUGGCAGCGGCAGCUGGGGCUGCAGCGGCGCCGGGCCCUAGAGAGCCGCAGGCAGCGGCCAGAGUGCGGAGCUGGACACCCGGGUCCCAGAUACUACAGACACCUGGAGAGGUGGCUCCUUCGCCCUGACGCCUUCCUCGGCCCCCUACGCACUCGGGCCCCUUCCGCAGAGGAUUCGCAGCGUGAGCGCCCCGCAGCCCGCUCAGGACCAGCUAUGAGCAGACGUGUGGUUCGGCAAAGCAAGUUCCGCCAUGUGUUUGGGCAGGCAGCAAAGGCCGACCAGGCCUACGAGGACAUCCGUGUGUCCAAGGUCACAUGGGACAGCUUCUUCUGUGCCGUCAACCCCAAAUUCCUGGCCAUUAUUGUGGAGGCUGGAGGCGGGGGUGCCUUCAUUGUCCUGCCUCUGGCCAAGACAGGGCGAGUGGAUAAGAACUACCCACUGGUCACUGGGCACACUGCCCCUGUGCUGGAUAUUGACUGGUGUCCACACAAUGACAACGUUAUCGCCAGUGCCUCAGACGACACCACCAUCAUGGUGUGGCAGAUUCCAGACUAUACCCCCAUGCGCAACAUUACGGAACCUAUCAUCACACUUGAGGGCCACUCCAAGCGUGUGGGCAUCCUCUCCUGGCACCCUACUGCCAGGAAUGUCCUGCUCAGUGCAGGUGGUGACAAUGUGAUCAUCAUCUGGAAUGUGGGCACCGGGGAGGUGCUGCUGAGCCUGGAUGAUAUGCACCCAGACGUCAUCCACAGUGUGUGCUGGAACAGCAACGGUAGCCUGCUAGCCACCACCUGCAAGGACAAGACCUUGCGCAUCAUUGACCCCAGAAAAGGCCAAGUGGUGGCGGUCUCUGCCCUAAGUAAGCCCCCAGCCUGCAAUUCUCUGCCCGGCUCCUGUUCCCUCCCCUCCCUUGCAUCUCAGAAGCUCAGAGAAGGGCUCCUCGCUUUGGGAUUGAGGAGGGGAGAAGCUGGAAACUCCAUCCUCCCACCAGAACCUGCAUGAAACCUGAGCUCCUGGACCCCUCUCCUCUCAGCCGGCACCCAGACGCAUCUUCCAGGGUCUGGGGCCUGACACUGGCUCGAGGGCUGGCCCUUUCUCCUUGUGGACCCGCUGGGCGGGGGAUGGGGGCAACCCUCGCGCGUUGCUUAUCCCAGCCGGGUGCCCUGGGAGGGCGGCGGCCCUGGCCUCGCUAGCCUCAAGUCUAACCUGGGGUGCGGGUGCGUGGGCCGCGUGCAUGUCUGCGUGGAGCAAGCGCGCCGAGAGCGGUCGGGGCUGGCGCCGGGGCGCUCUAACCCACUAACCCGGCGAGCAGGAGCAAGCCCGGCCUCACGAGGGCGCCCGCCCGCUGCGGGCUGUCUUCACCGCAGACGGGAAGCUGCUCAGCACCGGCUUCAGCAGGAUGAGUGAGCGGCAACUCGCGCUCUGGGACCCGGUAGGCCAGGCCGCGCCGGGCGCGCUAGCUCGCUCCUUCUCUGGGUCUGCCGGGAGCGCCUUCCCGGGCUGUGGCUGGCGCCCAAGAGGCCAGAGCGGAGCGGGGAGCUCCCAUUCGGGAAAAGCCUCGCUGCGACUCCGGGGAGCCAGCAGACACCGCUGCUCUAGGGAUCGGCCUUUGAGCGCGCUUAAGGGUUCGGGAUCGGCUGAGAGCCGCGUGCCUCCUGCUCUCUCCAGGCCCGGAUGCUCUCCAGGUCAGGGGCCAGACGUGGCCCCGCAGGAAGCUGAGUGCUUAGGCCCCAUUUGUCUCUUCCCCGCAUCCGCUCCUCCACCCCGGACACCCAAGUUAGCAAGCUGGUUGCUCAUCCCUCCAUGCUCCUCAGGGCAGGCAGCUGGGUGAUGUCCCUCCCUGUCUCCCCCUCCCCCCAGGAGAGGUUUGCGGCCCACGAGGGGAUGAGGCCCAUGCGGGCCGUCUUCACGCGCCAGGGCCAUAUCUUCACCACGGGCUUCACCCGCAUGAGCCAGCGAGAGCUGGGCCUGUGGGACCCGGUAACGCAGCUGGAGGCUUGGGGUGUGUGCCUCGGGGACUGGCAUCACGGGAGAGUGGCCAGGCGCCCCCCACCCGCAGGGCAUGCCCACCUGGACAGGACUGAAGGCUGCUGCCACCUCUGCAGCGCCUGCCAUUCUCACACCCACCCCUCUGCCCAGUUUUGCUGCGUCGCGUGAAGGAUCCUGCGCUGGCGCCCCCACCUGGUGAUGCCGAGUCCCUGGGGGUGGUUUGCUGUGACUGCAUGCGGCGCGCAGCGGGUAUAUGUGCAGGGGAGGAGGAGCUAUGUGCGCAGGGGAGGAGGAGAGAUGUGCCCAGGGGAGGGGCCUGCAACUCUGGUCACUAGAGGUUUGGGGCAUAGGGUUUGGGAAGGCCAGGAAGCGUAAAGGGGCUUCUGGGGGUCCCGAAGUAGCACGGGAGGGUGGGGCAGGGCUGGUCACGCCUCCUGUGCUCGGGCAGAACAACUUCGAGGAGCCAGUGGCACUGCAGGAGAUGGACACAAGCAACGGGGUCCUAUUGCCCUUUUACGAUCCCGACUCCAGCAUCGUCUACCUGUGUGGCAAGGGCGACAGCAGCAUUCGGUACUUUGAGAUUACCGACGAGCCGCCUUUCGUGCACUACCUGAACACGUUCAGCAGCAAAGAGCCGCAGCGGGGCAUGGGUUUCAUGCCCAAAAGGGGACUGGAUGUCAGCAAGUGUGAGAUCGCCCGGUUCUACAAGCUACACGAAAGAAAGUGUGAACCUAUCAUCAUGACUGUGCCCCGCAAGUCAGACCUGUUCCAGGACGAUCUGUACCCGGAUACGCCAGGCCCGGAGCCGGCCCUAGAAGCGGACGAAUGGCUAUCCGGCCAGGACGCCGAACCCGUGCUCAUUUCGCUGAGGGACGGCUAUGUGCCCCCUAAGCACCGCGAGCUCCGGGUCACGAAGCGCAACAUCCUGGACCUUCGCCCGCCCUCCGGCCCCCGCCGCAGCCAGUCGGCCAGCGACGCCCCCUUGUCGCAGCACACUCUGGAGACGCUGCUGGAAGAGAUCAAGGCCCUCCGCGAGCGGGUGCAGGCCCAGGAGCAGCGCAUCACGGCUCUGGAGAACAUGCUGUGCGAGCUGGUGGACGGCACGGACUAGCCCCGCGCGCCAGGCAGGCGGAGCGGGGCGGGGCGGGGCGCACAAGCUCGGCCCCGCCCCGGCUUUUAGUCCCGAACUCCGGACCCCGCCUUCUUGGGCUGGGCCCGGGGGCGGGACUGGGAAGGGAACUCCGCCCCUCGCGGGAGACCAGAACUCUUGGAGCUUAGGGGAGACCCACGUCGCUCCAGCGGAGGCUGGACUGCGAGCCUCGUCUGGGACUCGGCUGGAGCUGGCCUAGGGAGGCCCGUGGUAACCUGGGGGGCUCAGCAAUGGUGCUGCACGGCGAGGUGGUGUCCCCCUUUGUCCUCCGCCCAGGGCAGGGAAAGUGCUUAGUAUUAGCGUGAUGCUUGGGGAUAUUGGAGCCUGAGCUUGACCUCAAACGGGUGGCGAUUUGAUGGGUACCCCCAGGCUGGGGAAAAUGACAGCGCUUCUCCUAAUCAGCUCACUGGAUUCCAUCACCCUGAGCGGUAAACCAGAUGGGCGUCACCCCAGUUCUGCAGACACAUACACAACCCCUUUGCUGCAGAGCCGGACCCAGUAGCUACACCCACAGCGGUCUGUGGUAGAGAGCUCUCUUCCUUCUUUCCACCGACAGGGGCGAGGGCUGCUUCCUCGCGGCAGCCCCCGCGAAGAAAUCUCGACAGAACUGGCAUGAGGAGUUAGGUUCAUCACAAAUACACACACACUGCCCCCAACCCUCUGCCGUUGCCUCUCUCAGAAAAACAAGACGUACUGAAUGAAAUAUUUUACUAAGCGUUCAGUCUGUGCCUCCUGCAUGGGUGGGAGUGAGGGGAACGAGACCCCCAGCCUCUGCAAAUGCUACCCCCAGGCUCCUGGGAGACCUGGCGAUGCACUCCUGGGCUCAGGGCCCAUCAGGCAGCCUCUUACCCUAGAGCUCUCUCCACUCUGAGGUUCAGAAGGACCCCAACCCACACCGUAGGCGUUCCCCCCAAGUAAAGUUAGGUAGCAAAAGC
rnacentral:sRNA from 1 species